ensembl:lncRNA
AAGACUUUUUAGGAAUUUGUGAUUCUCAAGCCUUGUAGUAAUGCCAAGGCAACACAAAACCAAACACAGUCCUGAGUGAAGCUAUAAUUACGCUGAAUUUAGGAUAAAAAAAAUUAGUUUCUUCAUUAUGAUCUAAAUCCUUAAGUGCACCACUUAUCCUUCUGAUGCUUACUUCUGUGUUGCAGAUUUUCAGCUUCAUAUCACUAUCAAUUUCAAUAGCAUGCUUUUACUUUGUGACAUAAUUAAUAGAAAUAUUGGCUGAAAUAGAAUGCAAGGUCAACCCCUUUACUAAUAACUUCUCUUCAACAUAAUUAUUCGCACUUCAUGUGACUUAUCAUUAGCUACAAGCUUACCUUUCUUCUAUUCUUGUGAUGUUUUUCAGCUUAAACCAUAGCGUCUCAUGAGAUACAUAUCAGUUCUACACAGGUCCCCAGACUAGUUUUUCUAACCAAGGAAAAUCAGUAGCAUGUUUUGCCACAGCUGUCCUUGGUGAAUCAGUGAUGUGCUUUAUUUCUUGAAUUUCGGUGACUUACAUUCUCUUACCCAUUCCUUCAAAACUACUUUAAAGCAUUUCAUUAUGGAAUACUGUGUUUGACUUCACCAAACACAGUUCAUGACUAACUAUGUAACUAGAGCUGGUUAGUACUCAUAUUUGUGCUAUGGUAAGUCCUACAAGUGCAGUCAUGCAUAACUAUCCAUCAUUUGACAGAACAGAAACACCCUCUGAGUUACAGUACUACUUUUAACAAACUCACUGUGAAAAUAUUAGCUUGUGGGAUUGGACUAAAUAACUAGAGUUACAAUCUUUAGCUGCUACCCACACUUUAGAAAUAGCUGUUGCUUUUAAGCCUGUUCUUGUGCACCAUAGCACGUUAACAGAGCAUCUUUUUUUAAGAAACACCAACAUAACGUCCUUUUCAAAAAAAGUAGUAAUGUUUACUGCAAGCAGUGGCCUAGUAUAAAACAAGAUGGCUGACAAGGAAACUGCUGAACGAAACUAUGGCACAGCUGGCAAACUGUAUAACCAUAGGCAUGCUUCAGCUCUGAGGCCUUAGUUUCCCCACUGCUAUUGAACAGUGGGCAUGCAAAUAUUCAAGAUGUGCUUUGAGAUUAAUGUUAGUUAUUAAAGAAACUAUUACUGACUAUUCUAUUGGAGAAUAGUGGCUGGAUAUUUCCCAAAACCUUGAAGUGAAACUGAUCAGGAGAGGUCUCAAACCAGCCAUACAAAGAUGCAUGAUCAGUGAAUGCAGUUCAUGCACCCACUCAGCCAGGUUGGUGCCUUUCUUCUCCAGACAGUAUUUCCAAGUCUUUUCUUAGUUAAAAAGUCAGAUCUCCUUCAUUAAGUUGACCCAGAGUUUAGCAAACUAUAGCAGGACUCAGUCUCAGAUACAUCUGUAUCCAGGUAUUCCUAUUCAUGUAAGUAACUUUUAAGAUAUAAGCUUCCAGUGUUGUAUUCGGAGAAAACCAAGAGUUUCCACUAACUAUGCAGUAUCCUUGCAAGUUUAACAUAACGACUUUGUUGUGUUUUUUUCUUGUUCCUGUUAAAUUGGCCUUUUGAAGACUAAGGACUUGUGAGCUUUGCAUGUUAAAGGCUAAACUCUUGUUAUAGUGAACGUGAUAUUUUUUAAGGCUUGAGGGAGAUUGAAGCUAAAUUGAAAAGAAUGCCAUGAAGUCCUUGUGCAAGUCAUUCACCUUGUAGAGCUCUAGGCUGAGAGAGCUCAAAUGCCACUCUACAUAACAAGCUCAAAAACACUAAUUUAAAUAGCAAGUGCAAACUCCACUUGGGAUCCUCAGUGAGGCAUGUGUGGAUUGCACAGCCUAAACUCCUUAACAACAUUAUCUGAAGAAAAAAAGAGUAAUUCCUUUUUUUAAAGUGGUAACUCAGGGCCCAAGUCUCAAAAGCAUUUGAACAUUUCAAGGACUAUUACUAUACCAAAAUGUUCUUAACUACAAAUAAGAAAUUUUAAAAAAAGACUGAGUACUUUUUUCAAAUUCAGAUUAUUAGCUUAAAGUCUCACAAGAAUAAUAAAACUAUGUAUGUAUAGUUUUGUCACUUCAGCCUUAGCAGAAAAUAUAGUAUAUGUGCUUUAAAUCUGAAAAGCUAAUGCUUGUAGACAGUGAUUUACAGGAUGGCAGAACACCAUCUUAGCAGCUCAGAAGGUAUGUAGAAGAACAAAUCUAUAGCUCCUAUAUCUAAUACUGAUCAAUUAAAAUAUUUGGAACUGUGUAAGUGUUUAUGGGAGAAAAUUUCAAUGUGGACUAAUAAAUAGAAAGUAAAGUUCUUUAGUACAAAUCUUUAAGUUAAAAGUCACAGAAGUACAGCUACAUAUUUUUUCCUGAUUAUUAUAACUUUCUCAGCUAUGUUAAAAUGCUGUAGUUAAAACUCAACAGAAGUGUUCACUGCUGAUAUGAACGUCUAUAUUCAAUACAUUUUUUGUAAUUUUAGAACAGAAAAUAUACUUUCAAAAAUAUGAAAGAAUAUUUGUUUGUUUUUCUGGUUUUUGUUGUUAUUGUUGUUUUUUUGCAAAAAGACAUUGCAUUUUGAAUGGAAAUAUUUCUUAUCAAUAAUGCUUUUUAAUUUAAAGGUAGAAGUAAAUAUAUUUUGCCCGAUCACCAAUGUUAAAGAUCAGUAUUUCACAGAAUAGGCAAGAUGCUAAUUCUGUUUCUUUAAAAUGAGGAAAAUUACAUGUUGGAAUUAAAUUCUGUGUCUUUUAAGAGAAUAAAUUUUACAAAUCUCUCUUCUAAGUCCACUGAGCUCAAUAUUUCCCAACUUUUAACAGAUUGUCCUUCAUUUUGAGAAAGACUUUAACAUCCUUUUUUUAGAGCAGAGUGGUUCUUUUAUUCAAGAACUAGGUCAUAGAAAAUAAAAGAAUAGAGAUCAACAGCAGGAUCUUCAGAGCUACCUUAGUUCCUAUGAAGGUUUUUGGCAGUACUUAGGUUAAAAAGGCAUCUAAAUACUGUUUUCUAGAAUACCACUCAAUUAGAACUAGGCAUUUCCUAUUUAGCCGUUGCAAAGAUGAUAAUUUGUGCAAGAAAAAUGUGCAGAGGUAAUGCAAGUUUAUGGUUUAAAGUCCAAGCAAUAGGUAAAGCAUGAAAAGUCUGGUUUCAAAGCUGGUAUUCAGCUCCAAUAUCAUGCAUGUUUUCUCUUAAUUUUUCAAGCUACUUUCACGUCAAGUCCCGCAAUUCAUAUACAGUCAAAGCUUCCAUUCAGUCAGUACAACUCUGUCCACUUGUAGGUGAAGCGCUGCACUUGUACUAAGAAUUUAAUAUAGCUCUAAUGCUUCAUUAUUGGAUGCUUAUUUAAAUGUAUAUUAGUCUCAGCUGAUGAAUGCUAAAAACUGUUGAAUAAGAAGCUGUUUUUCUUUACAUUAGCACAUUUUUUUUUAACUGAAAGGUUCAAAGAGAUGCAUCUAAUUACAAUGCUUCUUUAAAAGUACUUAAGUAUUAUUAAAUAUCAUGUGAAACAACCUUAUGGACCUCCUGAAGCACUGCUAAAAUGCAAAAUUCUGUAUUUAUGCUAGCACUUACAAUGGAUGUCUUUUUAGUACUGAACAAAUCCUUACAAAAACUAUUUACUUUAUAAAGGAUAAAGCUAUUUCCUGCAAAACUGAGCAAGACUGAAGAACCUGUAAGCACAGAAAACAUAUGCCUCUGCACAGGGUGAGAUUACUGAUUGAAAAUUAAAAUAAGCAACACAUUUACAGACUAGCAGUUGAGAAUACUAUUGCUGGCAUUUAAGAGAAAAGCCUCUAUUAACACUAAAAGUAGAUGGCCUUUAAGUUGUGUAUUAGAGAAACAAAGACAAUUAUUGCUAGCUACAACAACACUAAUUUCACUUGUUAUUUAGCACCUUCAAAUACUUGCCCUCAAACUACUUUUCUUGGUCAUUAGAAAAUAUCACAGGUAUCUUGCUUGUGGUUUGGUGUGUUGCUCCCUGUUUUUUCAGGUUACUUGUUCCUCCAGAAUGUUCUUGCAUUGGCCUGCAGAGGACAGAAGCAGUGAAUAUCACUCAUCAGAAAUUCCUGCCAAGCUACAUACCUGACACCCAUGAAGAGAAUCAUCAUAAAAGAUUCCUCAUGACCUGCCUCUCCCUCCUGGACUUGCUCUGUGCUCUACCUGCUUGCUGCCUAAGGAUAGCCCCUCUGCUGCUGCUCUCCCCCCCGCCCUGAAGAGGUGUCUGCCAUCAGAUCCAUCACUACGAAAGGCCUGCAUGCUGAUGGACUCUCCAGGGCCUGCUACAGGAGACCUGCUGCUUCUGCCCGGACAUCUUCCUGGACCUACUCGAUACCUGCACCUUCUCGCUGCCCAAAACCGACCACACUGCUGCUGCUCUUCCCCUGCGCUUUUGCCCCGGACCAUCAGAACAUCAUGCAAUGGGGCUACUGCUGGAUCCUGGUGGUGACUAUCCCUGCUUUACGCCAUUCUUGCUUCUUCCUAUCUUUUCUAUCGCUCACCUUCCCUUCCCCAUCACCCCAGUCUGUAACAGUGUCCGUCCUCCCCUUCCCCAUCUCCCUUAUUAAGAUUUGUAAUAAACUGGCCGGAC